rnacentral:rRNA from 1 species
GAUGAACGCUGGCGGCGUGCCUAAUACAUGCAAGUCGAGCGAACGGACGAGAAGCUUGCUUCUCUGAUGUUAGCGGCGGACGGGUGAGUAACACGUGGAUAACCUACCUAUAAGACUGGGAUAACUUCGGGAAACCGGAGCUAAUACCGGAUAAUAUUUUGAACCGCAUGGUUAAAAAGUGAAAGACGGUCUUGCUGUCACUUAUAGAUGGAUCCGCGCUGCAUUAGCUAGUUGGUAAGGUAACGGCUUACCAAGGCAACGAUGCAUAGCCGACCUGAGAGGGUGAUCGGCUACACUGGAACUGAGACACGGUCCAGACUCCUACGGGAGGCAGCAGUAGGGAAUCUUCCGCAAUGGGCGAAAGCCUGACGGAGCAACGCCGCGUGAGUGAUGAAGGUCUUCGGAUCGUAAAACUCUGUUAUUAGGGAAGAACAUAUGUGUAAGUAACUGUGCACAUCUUGACGGUACCUAAUCAGAAAGCCACGGCUAACUACGUG